rnacentral:lncRNA from 1 species
AAAACUUUGUUGCCUUGCAAACCACACUUGCAUAAUAACUGAUAUCCCUUAUUAACGAAUUUGAGCCUUAACCUUUCCUUCGAUGACUUAGCCUAUUAUAAGCCUUUGAAUUGAAAGAUAAAAUAUUUUCACCCUCCUUGGAGUAGGUAGAUAAAUUUCAUUUUCAGUAUAUACUAAUCACUAAGUUUCAGGUUGCUCUUGGAAGUAAGCAACAUUUAAAUUUGGGGUUGAGGGUACUAGAGAAAUUGGUCAAAUAAAAAGAUAAAGAAAAUAAAAAUAAGAUGUAAAAAGCAUGACAUUUAAAAAUAAAAAAAAAAAUAAUAAGACCAAAAGUAAGAAAAGAAAAAUUCUCUGGUACUCAAUAUGAAAUAAAGAAUGAUAUGAAAGAAAGAA